rnacentral:lncRNA from 10 species
CGGGUUUCUCCCUGCGGCUCCUGGGUUGUUGAGACUCUUGUGAAGAUGGCUUGCGCUGCCGCGCGGUCCCCGGCCGACCAGGACAGGUUUAUUUGUAUCUAUCCUGCUUAUUUAAAUAAUAAGAAGACCAUCGCAGAGGGAAGGCGAAUCCCCAUAAGUAAGGCUGUUGAAAAUCCUACAGCUACAGAGAUUCAAGAUGUAUGUUCAGCAGUUGGACUUAACGUAUUUCUUGAGAAAAAUAAAAUGUACUCUAGAGAAUGGAAUCGUGAUGUCCAAUACAGAGGCAGAGUCCGGGUCCAGCUCAAACAGGAAGAUGGGAGCCUCUGCCUUGUACAGUUCCCAUCACGUAAGCUUGUUUAAAUGAAUCAGUGGGGCUCAGGGAUAGGUUUCUCCUACACAACACAAAAAAGGUUCUAAAACUGAAAGGUAAAAGUCAGAAUUUGCAUUCUGAAGAUUAAUUUAAAGACAGGACUACUGCUCAUGGAGAGAAGCAGUAGUUCUAAUUUCUUUGAGGUGAAUGACCUCUUUGAAAAUGUAAUGAGACCCACUAAACAUUUUUCAAAAAAAUUGUUGUGUGAACAUUUUAUAAACCUCUGGAAGUCUGUCAUUGCUCCCAGGUUAAGAAUAUAAAAUUAUUAAAUCGUUGGAUGUUAAUUGCCAUUUCAGAUCCUAGAGGUCCUUGAGGUCUGUUAAUAUCUAUAAUAUCUAAUGAUUCUAUCAUUAAUAAAUCUGAAAAGCAAUAUUGACUGAAAAAAGCAAGAGAUAUACAUAGUGUGGUACCACUUAGGUAAAUUUAAAUACAAAAUAUUACUAUUUAUUGAUAGAUGCAUAUG